UAGGUUUGACAUCCCGAGAAUUAAUCCGAAAGGAUUGAGUGCCCCGUAGUUGUUUCAACGCUGUGAUUUUAAAGUCAUAGGUAUAGUUGAGAUAAGUACGGGGAACUCGGUGACAGAUGAUGCAUGGCCGUCGUCAGCUCGUGUCGUGAGAUGUUUGGUUAAGUCCAUCAACGAGCGCAACCCUUGUGAUUAGUUGUAUUUUUCUAAUCAGACUGCCCUGGCAACGGGGAGGAAGGUGGGGAUGACGUCAGUGCUUGCCU
rnacentral:misc_RNA from 1 species